GUGUUAAGGUUUGGUUAGAUUUAUAAUUUUUUUUAGUUGUAGAAGAAUUAAUAUUUAAAUUUAUUAGAGAUAAAUUAAAAUUUAAUUAUUAAUUAGAGUAUAAAUCUAACUAAAUUAGAAUAAAUAUUUAAAUUUAUUAGAAAUAAAUCAAUUAAGAUUUAAAUAUUUAUUAGAAUAGGAAUCUUAAGUAUAUUAGGAUUAGAGUACGUUUUGAUGGAGCUUUAUAAAUAUCUGUUAAUGUGAAGUCUCCAUAGGGUGUGUACGGUGAGAAAUAGUGCCUUUUUGGGUGAAACAGUACUAGUGGGUUUAUAGAAGACGAGAGAAUGAUAGGAGAGAUUUAAAAAGAAGGUUCGGUUUCUGCUACUCCUUGCAGAAGAGGAGUUAUAUGUAAUCUUCUCUUAUUUAAUAAAUCUUACUUUACCCGUAUAUUUUCUAUUUGGUUGUUUUUAUCUCUUUAUGAUUGUAUCAGCUUUUGCUGAGAAAACAGAUUCAUGGUGAAAACUCGAUUUGACUCGUUCGUUGCGGAAUUCCAACAAUCAAUACCAGAUCAACAGCAGCCGGUAUCGAAAACCGGAUGAGUACGGAAUUCCCAACAUAC
rnacentral:lncRNA from 1 species